AGCUUGUCGGGGUCGACCGCGCGGGACGCGAGCAGGUAGUCGCGCAUGACGAUGCCGUGCCGCCCUUC
rfam:Streptomyces sp. NRRL F-5122 P360contig42.1, whole genome shotgun sequence.